rnacentral:rRNA from 3 species
GAGUGGGUUGCAAAAGAAGUAGGUAGCUUAACCUUCGGGAGGGCGCUUACCACUUUGUGAUUCAUGACUGGGGUGAAGUCGUAACAAGGUAACCGUAGGGGAACCUGCGGUUGGAUCACCUCCUUACCUUAAAGAA